CUGCAAUGAGUUCCCACCAACUGUAAAAGUGUUCCUUUUCCUCGGCAACCUCGCUGGCACCUGUUAUUUUCUGACUUUUUAAUAAUAGCCAUUCUGACUGCUGUGAGAAGGUAGAUCCACACCUUCCUGCAACCACUGAGAGCGCUGCAAGCAGUUCAAAAGGUGGAGUCUCUAUUUGUUACCCAGGCUGCAGUGCAGUGGCACGAUCUCUACUGCAACUUCUGCCUCCCAGGCUCAAGCAAUUCUCCUGCCUCAGCUUCCAGCUGGGAUUACAGGCACGUGCUAUCCUGCCCAGAUAAUUUUUGUAGUUUUAGGAGAGACAGGGUUUUACCAUGUUGGCCAGGCUGGUCUCAAACUCCUGACCUCAGGUGAUCCAUCCUUCUCGGCCUCCCAAACUGCUUGGGAUUACAGGUCUGAGCUACCAUGCCCAGAAUCUCAUGUUUGUUUUUUUAAUCUUAAGGUUCUUUUCAGCUGAGAGCUCAUUUCACUUAUAAAUAAAAUUGAGAAUUACCUUUUUUACAACUUAAAUACUAUUCAAUCAUCUCUAAGAACAAGGUAUAUUUUUCAGUUACUUAAUCGAUAAAGUUCUUUAUUUAAACUUACAUAUUUCUUGUUCAACCUAUUCUUCGGUGUUUUGUUGCAAUUUUGUGUACAUAUGUUUUUGUGUGGAUGUGUGCAUAUAUUUGUAACUAGCACUGUUAUUUUUCUUGUUUCUAAUAGAUUUCCAGUUGAUGCUCUUCAAUUAUUAAAAUGCAUUACUUACA